ensembl:lncRNA
GUACAACCCAGUGCCACCAGUAUCACCAGUAUGACCAGUGCUCCCAGUGCUCCCAGUAUCACCAGUAUCACCAGUACUUCCAGUAUCCCCAGUACCACCAGUGCCACCAGUAUGACCAGUACAACCCAGUACAACCCAGUGCUCCCAGUACCACCAGUAUGACCAGUGCCACCAGUACCACCAGUGCUCCCAGUGCUCCCAGUAUCAUCAGUGCCCCCAGUAUUGCCACCAGUGCUACCAGUAUCACCAGUGCUCCCAGUGCUACCAGUAUCACCAGUACCACCAGUACCACCAGUACCACCAGUGCCACCAGUAUGACCAGUACAACCCAGUAUCACCAGUACCACCAGUACCACCAGUGCUCCCAGUGCCACCAAUGCUCCCAGUAUCACCAGUAUCACCACCAGUAUCCCCAGUGCCACCAGUGCCACCAGUACAGCCCAGUACAACCCAGUGCCACCAGUGCCACCAGUACUACCAGGGCUCCCAGUACCACCAGUGCCACCAGUAUGACCAGUACAACCCAGUACAGCCCAGUGCUCCCAGUACCACCAGUAUCACCAUGCUCCCAGUGCCACCAGUGCUCCCAGUAUCACCAGUAUCACCACCAGUAUCCCCAGUGCCACCAGUACAACCCAGUACAGCCCAGUACUCCCAGUGCCACCAGUAUCACCAGUACCACCAGGGCUCCCAGUACCACCAGUACCACCAGUAUCAGCA